ACAGCCCCUCGGGGAGUUUAAAUAAGGUGCUGCGGCACUUGAGUUCUGCAAAAGACACCUAUUCGCUGACCAGACAAAGAUGCUUAGCCACAACUCACAACUCUCAGGGUGCAGUUCGAAGAGGAGGAAGCAGCAUGGUAUAUAAAGCUCAUGCUCCCUUGAAGGCUGGUGAUUGAGACAAGUUAUGUCUUCUAGCAUUUGACUCCCUCAAAGAGAUUGCAGGACUUCCCUCUGAUUGCAGGUGGCUCAAUCCACUCAGAUCACCUAGAAACUUGAUAGAGAUUUAGAAUCUUAAAGAAGACAGAAGCUUAGACAGAGCAUGUAGCCCAGACCAUCAACAGAUGAAGAAGUUGAAUCCUGCAGGGACUACAAGGAGGAUCAUCCAUGAAGAUGGCUUCUCCGGAGAAGACGUGAAACAGUACAAGCCUGUUGUCUACAGCAACACCAUCCAGUCCCUGGCAGCCAUCGUCCGGGCCAUGGACACUUUGGGCAUCGAAUAUGGUGAUAAGGAGAGAAAGGCUGACGCCAAGAUGGUGUGUGAUGUGGUGAGUCGGAUGGAAGACACCGAGCCCUUCUCUGCAGAGCUGCUUUCUGCCAUGAUGCGGCUCUGGGGCGACUCAGGAAUCCAAGAGUGCUUCAACCGGUCCCGGGAGUAUCAGCUCAACGACUCUGCCAAAUACUACCUGGACAGCCUGGAUCGGAUUGGGGCCGCCGACUACCAGCCCACCGAGCAGGACAUCCUCCGAACCAGGGUCAAAACCACUGGCAUCGUAGAAACCCACUUCACAUUCAAGAACCUCCACUUCAGGCUGUUUGACGUCGGAGGCCAGCGAUCUGAACGCAAGAAGUGGAUCCAUUGCUUCGAGGACGUCACGGCCAUCAUUUUCUGUGUCGCGCUCAGCGGCUAUGACCAGGUGCUCCACGAAGACGAAACCACGAACCGCAUGCACGAGUCUCUCAUGCUCUUCGACUCCAUCUGUAACAACAAGUUCUUCAUCGAUACCUCCAUCAUUCUCUUCCUCAACAAGAAAGAUCUCUUUGGCGAGAAGAUCAAGAAGUCACCUUUGACCAUCUGCUUUCCUGAAUACACAGGCCCCAAUACCUAUGAAGACGCAGCCGCCUACAUCCAAGCACAAUUUGAAAGCAAAAACCGCUCACCCAA
rnacentral:sRNA from 1 species